rnacentral:rRNA from 1 species
CACAGGAUUGCCUCAGUAACGGCGAGUGAAGCGGCAACAGCUCAAUUUGAAAUCUGGCUCUUUCAGGGUCCGAGUUGUAAUUUGUAGAAGAUGCUUCGGGUGUGGCUCCGGUCUAAGUUCCUUGGAACAGGACGUCAUAGAGGGUGAGAAUCCCGUAUGUGACUGGYUGCCUCUGCUCAUGUGAAGCUCUUUCGACGAGUCGAGUUGUUUGGGAAUGCAGCUCAAAAUGGGUGGUAAAUUUCAUCUAAAGCUAAAUACUGGCCAGAGACCGAUAGCGCACAAGUAGAGUGAUCGAAAGAUGAAAAGCACUUUGSAAAGAGAGUUAAACAGUACGUGAAAUUGUUGAAAGGGAAGCGCUUGCAACCAGACUUGCAUAUAGCUGAUCAUCCGGUGUUCUCSCCGGKGCACUCWGCCGCGYUCAGGCCAGCAUCGGUUUCAGUGGUUGGAUAAAGGCCUUGGGAAUGGAGCUUCUUUCGGGGAGUGKUAUAGCCCUCGGUGCAAUGCAGCCUACUGGRACCGAGRACCGCGCUUCGGCUAGGAUGCUGGCGUAAUGGUUGUAAGCGACCCGUCUUGAAACACGGACCAAGGAGUCUAACAUCUAUGCGAGUGUUUGGGUGUCAAACCCAUACGCGUAAUGAAAGUGAACGGAGGUGAGAACUCUUAAGAGUGCAUCAUCGACCGAUCCUGAUGUCUUCGGAUGGAUUUGAGUAAGAGCAUAGCUGUUGGGACCCGAAAGAUGGUGAACUAUGCCUGAAUAGGGUGAAGCCAGAGGAAACUCUGGUGGAGGCUCGCAGCGGUUCUGACGUGCAAAUCGAUCGUCAAAUUUGGGUAUAGGGGCGAAAGACUAAUCGAACCAUCUAAACACCCGCUUUCUGGAU